rnacentral:rRNA from 1 species
AACGAACGCUGGCGGCAGGCUUAACACAUGCAAGUCGAACGCCCCGCAAGGGGAGUGGCAGACGGGUGAGUAACGCGUGGGAACAUACCCUUUCCUGCGGAAUAGCUCUGGGAAACUGGAAUUAAUACCGCAUACGCCCUACGGGGGAAAGAUUUAUCGGGGAAGGAUUGGCCCGCGUUGGAUUAGCUAGUUGGUGGGGUAAAGGCCUACCAAGGCGACGAUCCAUAGCUGGGCUGAGAGGAUGAUCAGCCACAUUGGGACUGAGACACGGCCCAAACUCCUACGGGAGGCAGCAGUGGGGAAUAUUGGACAAUGGGCGCAAGCCUGAUGCAGCCAUGCCGCGUGAGUGAUGAAGGCCUUAGGGUUGUAAAGCUCUUUAACCGAUGAAGAUAAUGACGGUAGUCGGAGAAGAAGCCCCGGCUAACUUCGUGCCAGCCGCCGCAGUAACAC